CACAAUCACAAUAAAUCCAUGAUUUAUUUUAGACUGUUGUGAAGAAUCAUGAUAAGAAAAUGUAGUCUAUUCCAGAUUAACAGAAUAGCUCUGAGUAGUCCUGAUGUGGCUAUGGCAAAUGGUUGUUGCCGGCGCGGCAGUUAGCCUAGUGGUUAGAGUGUAGGGACGGCAGGUAGCCUAGUGGUUAGAGUGUAGGGACGGCAGGUAGCCUAGUGGUUAGAGUGUCGGGACGGCAGGUAGCCUAGUGGUUAGAGUGUAGGGACGGCAGGUAGCCUAGUGGUUAGAGUGUAGGGACGGCAGGGUAGCCUAGUGGUUAGAGUGUAGGGACGGCAGGUAGCCUAGUGGUUAGAGUGUAGGGACGGCAGGGUAGCCUAGUGGUUAGAGUGUAGGGACGGCAGGUAGCCUAGUGGUUAGAGUGUAGGGACGGCAGGUAGCCUAGUGGUUAGAGUGUAGGGACGGCAGGUAGCCUAGUGGUUAGAGUGUAGCGGCGGCAGGUAGCCUAGUGGUUAGAGUGUAGGGACGGCAGGUAGCCUAGUGGUUAGAGUGUAGGGACGGCAGGGUAGCCUAGUGGUUAGAGUGUAGGGACGGCAGGUAGCCUAGUGGUUAGAGUGUAGGGACGGCAGGUAGCCUAGUGGUUAGAGCGUAGGGGCGGCAGGUAGCCUAGUGGUUAGGACUAGCAACCGAAAGGUUGCAAGAUCGAAUCCCCGAGCUGACAAGAUACAAAUAUGUCAUUCUGCCCCUGAACUAGGCAGUUAACCCACUGUUCCUAGGCCGUCAUUGAAAAUAAGAAUUUGUUCUUUAACUGACUUGCCGAGUUAAAUAAAGGUAAAAUAAAAUACUUCAUUUAGCAGACCAACUGAUUCACAGCAUGAACCUUAUCCUCACACCAACGAGAUCUAGGAUCCAAAUUCACCGCGUCUGCCUCAGGGGUAUACCAUAUUUUAUGAUAUACAGGUAUUGAUGCAGGGGACCGGUUUGGGUUUUUACUUUACUAUACCGGUAUUACUAUAGCGUUUGAAUGUUUGUUUUGUUAAAUGUGAUACGCCAUGUGUAAUGUCCAUUUUUAUAGUUUAACUUCACUACUUGAGUUGUCUCUCGCCGCUCUUUCUCUCCG
ensembl:lncRNA